rnacentral:rRNA from 1 species
AAAGGAAUAGACGGGGGCCCGCACAAGCGGCGGAGCAUGCGGAUUAAUUCGAUGCAACGCGAAGAACCUUACCAAGGCUUGACAUAUAGAGGAAACAUGCAGAAAUGUAUGCCCCGAAAGGUCUCUAUACAGGUGGUGCAUGGUUGUCGUCAGCUCGUGUCGUGAGAUGUUCGGUUAAGUCCGGCAACGAGCGCAACCCUCGUCCUAUGUUGCCAGCACGUAAUGGUGGGAACUCAUGGGAUACUGCCGGGGUCAACUCGGAGGAAGGUGGGGAUGACGUCAAAUCAUCAUGCCCCUUAUGUCUUGGGCUUCACGCAUGCUACAAUGGCCGGUACAAAGGGCUGCAAUACCGUAAGGUGGAGCGAAUCCCAAAAAGCCGGUCUCAGUUCGGAUUGAGGUCUGCAACUCGACCUCAUGAAGUCGGAGUCGCUAGUAAUCGUAGAUCAGCAACGCUACGGUGAAUACGUUCCCGGGCCUUGUACACACCGCCCGU